AAAAAUUUUCAACGGUGGAUAUCUUGGUUCCCAUAACGAUGAAGAACGCAGCCAAAUGCGAUACGCAAUGCGAAUUGCAGAAUUCCGCGAGUCAUCAGAUCUUUGAACGCAAAUGGCGC
rnacentral:rRNA from 1 species